GGUGAGAUAAAACUCAACGCCUGACUGAAUCAUCCAUUCCCUUUUCGAUCCUACGCCAUACGUUAAACUUGAGGUAAUCUUGCUUUUGCUGUUCUAAAAUAAACACUGCUCUUAGCACACCCCACCCUUACAUGGCACACAAGUAUAUGACACACAACACAGGUCUUCUCAGGAGGCUGUGCCUACAGCAAUAGGCUUUAUGCCCAGCUGCACUACUUCCUGAACUUCAGCCAGCUCCUUGUUUCCUGUCUGCCAUUAUUGGACAAACUGAUUAAUCCAGGUGUGCCUGAGCUUAGUAGUCACAACAACAAUAAUCAGACACACCUGGAUUUAUCAGUUUGUCCAGUAAUGGCAGACAGGA